rnacentral:rRNA from 1 species
GCCUGCGGCCUAUCAGCUUGUUGGUGAGGUAAUGGCUCACCAAGGCGACGACGGGUAGCCGGCCUGAGAGGGCGACCGGCCACACUGGGACUGAGACACGGCCCAGACUCCUACGGGAGGCAGCAGUGGGGAAUAUUGCACAAUGGGCGAAAGCCUGAUGCAGCGACGCCGCGUGAGGGAUGACGGCCUUCGGGUUGUAAACCUCUUUCAGCAGGGAAGAAGCGAAAGUGACGGUACCUGCAGAAGAAGCACCGGCUAACUACGUGCCAGCAGCCGCGGUAAUACGUAGGGUGCGAGCGUUGUCCGGAAUUAUUGGGCGUAAAGAGCUUGUAGGCGGUUUGUCGCGUCUGCAGUGAAAAUCCGGGGCUCAACCCCGGACUUGCUGUGGGUACGGGCAGACUAGAGUGUGGUAGGGGAGACCGGAAUUCCUGGUGUAGCGGUGGAAUGCGCAGAUAUCAGGAGGAACACCGAUGGCGAAGGCAGGUCUCUG